AUUGAACGCUGGCGGCAGGCUUAACACAUGCAAGUCGAGCGGGGGAGGUUGCUUUGGUAACUGACCUAGCGGCGGACGGGUGAGUAAUGCUUAGGAAUCUGCCUAUUAGUGGGGGACAACAUCUCGAAAGGGAUGCUAAUACCGCAUACGUCCUACGGGAGAAAGCAGGGGACCUUUGGGCCUUGCGCUAAUAGAUGAGCCUAAGUCGGAGUAGCUAGUUGGUGGGGUAAAGGCCUACCAAGGCGACGAUCUGUAGCGGGUCUGAGAGGAUGAUCCGCCACACUGGGACUGAGACACGGCCCAGACUCCUACGGGAGGCAGCAGUGGGGAAUAUUGGACAAUGGGGGGAACCCUGAUCCAGCCAUGCCGCGUGUGUGAAGAAGGCCUUUUGGUUGUAAAGCACUUUAAGCGAGGAGGAGGCUACUGGUAUUAAUACUACCGGAUAGUGGACGUUACUCGCAGAAUAAGCACCGGCUAACUCUGUGCCAGCCGCCGCAGUAACAC
rnacentral:rRNA from 1 species